UACGUAGGGGGCAAGCGUUAUCCGGAAUUACUGGGCGUAAAGCGCACGCAGGCGGUUCGCCAAGUUUGGAGUGACAGUUGUCGGCUCAACCGACAAAGGACUUCAAAAACUGGUGAACUUGAGGACGAGAGAGGAACAUGGAACUCCAGGUGUAGUAGUGAAAUGCGUAGAUAUCUGGAAGAACACCAGUGGCGAAGGCGGCUCACUGGCCCGGUACUGACGCUGAGGUGCGAAAGCGUGGGGAGCAAACAGG
rnacentral:rRNA from 1 species